AGUGAACGCUGGCGGUAGGCCUAACACAUGCAAGUCGAACGGCAGCACAGGAGAGCUUGCUCUCUGGGUGGCGAGUGGCGGACGGGUGAGGAAUACAUCGGAAUCUACUCUGUCGUGGGGGAUAACGUAGGGAAACUUACGCUAAUACCGCAUACGACCUACGGGUGGAAGCAGGGGACCUUCGGGCCUUGCGCGAUUGAAUGAGCCGAUGUCGGAUUAGCUAGUUGGCGGGGUAAAGGCCCACCAAGGCGACGAUCCGUAGCUGGUCUGAGAGGAUGAUCAGCCACACUGGAACUGAGACACGGUCCAGACUCCUACGGGAGGCAGCAGUGGGGAAUAUUGGACAAUGGGCGCAAGCCUGAUCCAGCCAUACCGCGUGGGUGAAGAAGGCCUUCGGGUUGUAAAGCCCUUUUGUUGGGAAAGAAAUCCAGCUGGCUAAUACCCGGUUGGGAUGACGGUACCCAAAGAAUAAGUACUGGCUAACUUCGUGCCAGCCGCCGCGGUAA
rnacentral:rRNA from 1 species